rnacentral:lncRNA from 1 species
UGAUACAAUGAAAUAUCCUUUCAAUAAUGUUUAUUCUAUCACAUGUUAUGAUCAAAUUGAUAAGUAUGUGCAGCAAGUUUUUGAUUUUGAUUGCGAGGAUGGAUUAAGCGUGACUUUGAGCUAUGGUUGUUAUUUUACCGAGAUAGAAGAGAUGGAGAAGCACAUAUAUGUUCCCCAAAACGUUCAAGAAUUAGCCUUGGCUUUGCAAACCAUCCCCCAUGG